AACGCACGAGACCUGCGGACCUGCGGAGGGAUCAUUGCUGGAACGCGCCCCAGGCGCACCCAGAAACCCUUUGUGAACUUAUACCUUACUGUUGCCUCGGCGCAUGCCGGCCCCCAGGGGCCCCUCGGAGACGAGGAGCAGGCACGCCGGCGGCCAACCUAACUCUUGUUUUUACACUGAAACUCUGAGAAAAAAAACAAAAUGAAUCAAAACUUUUAGCAACGGAUCUCUAGAUCGGAA
rnacentral:misc_RNA from 1 species